CAAGAACAAUAUAGCAAACCUUAUCAGCAUAUUACAUACAUAUCUAAUGCAGAGGAAUUGCAAUGAUAAAAUAUGCAUGUGAGCAAGUGUGUUAUAUACAAAGUUAUCAUAAGCUAUUUUCCUAAAAUUCUUCAUUCUUUACCCGACUAUUGGCAUGUUCAAGAGUCCAUGACAUGGUGUUACCAUAUCCAUUAUUUCAAUUUAAUUUACUGAAACCAAUCUUUGUGAUUACAAAAUGGAAAAUUUAACAUG
rnacentral:misc_RNA from 1 species